rnacentral:rRNA from 1 species
GAUCAAGCUAGAAAGGGCGCAUGGGGGAUGUCUUGGUAUCAGAAGACUUUGAAGGGCGUGGAAGACUGCGAUAAGCCCGGGGUAGCUGCCAAACAAGCAUUGAUCCCGGGAUUCCUGAACUGGUGUGCAUUGAAUCAAAUAGAUGUGCAUCGACAACGCAGGGAACUGAAACAUCUAAGUACCUGUAGGAAAAGAAAGAAAAAUCGAUUCCGUAAGUAGCGGCGAGCGAAAGCGGAGUAGCCCAAACCUGAAGGAUUUUCCUUUAGGGGUUGUAGGGCUUCCAGAUUGGGAGUGAUAAAACUGACGAGAAGUAGAAGACGGUUGGAAAGCCGCACCAUAGAGGGUGAUAGUCCCGUAAACACAAUCUGUCGGACUCCUUGGGAGUACCUGAGUAGGUCGGGUCACGUGAAACCCUGACUGAAUCGGCGGAGACCAUUCCGCAAGGCUAAAUACUCUCUGAUAACCGAUAGUGGACUAAGUAGAGCGAUCGAAAGAUGAAAAGAACCCCGACUUAAGGGGAGUGUACAUAGAAUCUGAAACCAUGUGCCUACAAGCGGUCGGAGCACUGUGAUGAUUAACUAAAUAUAGUUCUCAUCCGUGUGACGGCGUGCCUUUUGCAUAAUGAUCCGGCGAGUUGGCGUAGACAGCUGGUUAAGAGCUUACGGCUUGAAGCCAUAGGGAAACCGAGUCUGAAUAGGGCGAAAAAUAGUUGUCUGUGCCAGACGCGAACCCCAGUGAUCUACCCAUGAGCAGGUUGAAGCGCGGGUUAAACUGCGUGGAGGACCGAACCCACUUGGGUUGAAAACCGAGGGGAUGACUUGUGGGGAGGAGUGAAAGUCUAAUCAAACUGGGAGAUAGCUCGUUCUCUUCGAAAUAGCUUUAGGGCUAGCCUUGAGCCACUAUCAAACGGGGGUAGAGAUACUGAAUUGAAUACUGGCGCUCCCAAGCGUACGGUUUCUAACCAAACUCCGAAUACCGUUUGAAUUAUCUCAGGAGUCAGUCCGCGAGGGAUAAGCUUCGCGGACGAGAGGGAAACAACCCAGAUCACCAAUUAAGGUCCCUAAAUAUGCCUCAGUCACUAAGGAAGUUCGAUUGCCGAGACAGCCAGGAUGUUGGCUUAGAAGCAGCCAUCAUUUAAAAAGUGCGUAACAGCUUACUGGUCGAGCAAUUGAGCGCCGAUAAUGAACGGGAGUAAGGCAUAUACCGAAGUUGUGGAUUUUGUAGUAAUACGAAGUGGUAGAAGAGCGCUGUAUAGAAGAUACAUGCUGUACCGUAAGGAGCAGUUCAGGUCUAUACAGGUGAUUAUGUCGGAAUGAGUAACGAUAAAACAGGUGAGAAUCCUGUUCGCCGAAAGCCUAAGGUUUCCUGGGGAAGGUAAUUCCGCCCAGGGUUAGCCGGUACCUUAGUCCAGGCCGAAAGGCGUAGACGAUGGAUGAUAGGUUAAUAUUCCUAUGCUAUUGAUGUGAACCGAUGGAGGGACGGUGUCCGGAAGGUAUGCGGACGAUUAGAAAUGUCCGUGGAGUACCUGAUCUCUUGGGAACAAUAUCCCAGUUCAGAGAAAGGGUAAGGACCGAAAAGAAAUAUGAAACUUUCAUAAGAUAUUGGAAGGACAUCCAAGAAAAGCUUCUAAGGGUUAAAGCAUCAAUAACCGUACUAAAACUGACACAGGUAGGCGAGUUGAGAAUACUAAGGCGCUCGGGAGAAUACUAGUUAAGGAACUCUGCAAAAUGAUCCCGUACGUUCGCAAUAAGGGAUACCUUCGGGGGUGUUACAGCUCCGGAAGGUCACAGUAAAUCGGUAUCAGCAACUGUUUAUCAAAAACACAGGACCGUGCUAACACGUAAGUGGAUGUAUACGGUCUGACGCCUGCCCGGUGCCGGUAAGUUAAGGAAGGAGGUUAUCGCAAGAAAAGCUUUCGACCGAAGCUCCGGUAAACGGCGGCUCUAACCUUGAGAGUCCUAAGGUAGCGAAAUUCCUUGUCGGGUAAGUUCCGACCUGCAUGAAAGGCGUAAUGACUGAUACACUGUCUCAACUAGUAACCCGGUGAAAUUGUAGUCGUGGUGAAGAUGCCACGUACCCGCAGUAAGACGG